rnacentral:piRNA from 1 species
UGGUGGCUCGUGUCUAAAAU